GCCUUCGUGGUGUAAUGGUCAGCACACUGAGCCGGUAUUUCAGAGGUCGUGGUUCGAUCUCCGGCGAAGGCA
rnacentral:tRNA from 1 species